GGGGUAAUAACUCAGUGGUAGAGUGCAUGCUUAACAUGUCCUGAGUUCAAUCCCCAGUGCCUCCA
rnacentral:tRNA from 1 species